GACGUAGGAUGCAAGCGUUGUCCGGAAUUAUUGGGCGUAAAGCGUUCGUAGGCGGUUUCUUAAGUUUGGGGUUAAAGACCGAGGCUCAACCUCGGGAGUGCCCUGAAUACUGGGAGACUGGAGGACGGCAGAGGAAAGUGGAAUUCCAAGUGUAGCGGUGAAAUGCGUAGAUAUUUGGAGGAACACCAGUGGCGAAAGCGACUUUCUGGGCCGCACCUGACGCUGAGGAACGAAAGCCAGGGGAGCAAACGGG
rnacentral:rRNA from 1 species